GGAGUAAAGAGGAGAGUUGAAGAAGAGAAAGCAGAAGACUGGCAUCUGAAUCCUGUUAUUAUUAAACUAUAUUUUCUUACACUGGAAAGGGGAAAAGUACCCAACACAUAUCCUGCAUAUUUCACUGACAUUUAAUUCAACUCCACUUACCCUGUUUUGGAGGAGAGAUGAGGCACUGAUCUAACUUCUCCAGGAACUCACACC